rnacentral:rRNA from 1 species
CCCUUAGACGUUCUGGGCCGCACGCGCGCUACACUGAUGCAUUCAACGAGUCUAAAACCUGCUCUGAUAGGGGUGGGUAAUCUUUUGAAUGUGCAUCGUGAUUGGGAUAGAUGAUUGAAAUUUUUCAUCUUCAACGAGGAAUGCCUAGUAAACGCAAGUCAUCAGCUUGCAUUGAUUACGUCCCUGCCCUUUGUACACACCGCCCGUCGCUCCUACCGAUUGAAUGAUCCGAUGAAUAUCAUGGAUUGAGGAUGCAAGUAGGUUCACCUAUCUUCAUCUUCGAGAAGUGAAGUAAAUCUUAUCAUUUAGAGGAAGGAGAAGUCGUAACA